rnacentral:rRNA from 1 species
AACGAACGCUGGCGGCAUGCCUAACACAUGCAAGUCGAACGGACGGUAGCAAUACCGUUAGUGGCGGACGGGUGAGUAACGCGUGGGAACCUGCCUCGAAGUUCGGAAUAACCGCGGGAAACUGCGGCUAAUACCGGAUGUGGCCUGAGGGUCAAAGGCGCAAGUCGCUUCGAGAGGGGCCCGCGUCCGAUUAGCUAGUUGGUGGGGUAACGGCCUACCAAGGCGACGAUCGGUAGCUGGUCUGAGAGGAUGAUCAGCCACACUGGGACUGAGACACGGCCCAGACUCCUACGGGAGGCAGCAGGUGGGGAAUAUUGGACAAGUGGGGGAAACCCUGAUCCAGCAAUGCCGCGUGGGU